rnacentral:tRNA from 1 species
GCCUUCGUGGUGUAGUGGUCAGCACGCUUGACUCGUAACCGAGAUGAGCAUAUUCGAGAGGUCCGUGGUUCGAGUCCCGGCGAGGGCA